GUUGCCAGGGUUACCUGGAGAGUAGUUGGAUGCAUGUUUGGCACAGAUUUAUGCCCUGACAACUUAUGGCAGGCAUUUGUUUGGUGUUAUACUUUUUUCCCGGGUGGCGAUAUCUUUUAUACGGUGGGCAUUGCAGCUCUAUGUUGGGCUAUUUGGACCUGCCGCAACCGAGCUACUUUUGAGCACACCCCUCUCAAAACCCCGUUUGAAUGCAUUUUUUCUGCGUGUGCACUUCUUUGUUACUGGGCAAGACUGAUGAAGCAGGAGGAUGCGGCAAGCCUGAGGGCUAGAGGAGCUCUGCUGAAGGACAACGCGUCUCUCAUGAUGAGGAUCUGCGCAACGGCGCACCAGGAUGGAGGAGUGCGCUGA
rnacentral:rRNA from 1 species